rnacentral:rRNA from 1 species
UACGUAGGUGGCAAGCGUUGUCCGGAAUUAUUGGGCGUAAAGGGCGUGUAGGCGGUUAUUUAAGUCAGGCGUGAAAAUCCAAGGCUUAACCUUGGACCUGCGUUUGAAACUGGAUGACUUGAGGGCGGGAGAGGAAAGCGGAACUCCGUGUGUAGCGGUGAAAUGCGUAGAUAUACGGAAGAACACCAGUGGCGAAGGCGGCUUUCUGGACCGAUCCUGACGCUGAGGCGCGAAAGCUAGGGGAGCGAACGGG